UAAAUUUUAACAGUAAAGUUAAGCAGGAAUUGAUAACAAUCUGAAAGACAUCAUGCAGUUUCGGCUUGCCACGUAAUCCAGAAUUAUAACGACUGCCUAAAAAUUUCUUAAAUAUUUCCUGAUGGGCAAUCUCAUUUGUAUAACCUGUACGUGUGAAACAUCAUGAUGGCAUUCAUACUGGAUUGAAUAUGAAAAUAAGCACAAAAAAUGUUAUUGGACUCCCACAGAUUACCAGAAUGCAAAAUGUCAUCAAAGGAAAGGACAGUGACUUUCAUAUGAAACUAAUGUCAUCAGAGUAGAAUUUUACUUCUGCAGAAUUCUCUGGACAAGGUAGAGUUUGCCAGGAAACUGAAGAUUUUUCCCAGAGCUCUGGAUAAAACAGUAUUGUGGUGUUUACUCUGGGGUCAAUGGUCAGAAAUAUGACAGAAGAAAGGGCCAAUGUGAUUGUACCAACCCUUGCCCAGAGUCCGCAAAAGGAAGAAGAAGAUAUGAUGCAAAGAUCUCUUCCUUUCAUGACAAAACCAUCUUUCACAAUUUAGCUUCUCAGAUCAAAACUUGUUUUCAAAGAAUUUACUCCCUGUUUGAAAGUUAGAAAUAUGUCAUCCACAGAGAAAAAAGAAAAACUUGGGAUAAAAUAAAAUAAGAAUAAGACUAUAUGAGUAUAUAUUGAAAUUUGUUAAUCUGAUUCAAAAGUUA
rnacentral:lncRNA from 1 species